UAGCCCCUUUGCAGUAACGCAGUCUGUAGGGGAGACGAGAAUUGAUUUAAGCCGGUACGGAAAGAAGAUUCGUUCCGAGUCUAACCGCUGUUCAGGUAAAUUAGAUUAAUUCCGUUAUUUCCGGACGCCAGUCCCGCUGAAAUCAAAGAAACCCGAGGGUUGAGUAACUACUUUGUCGAGACCCAGGAUCUCCUUGAUCGCGGCCGUUUCAGCAGCUCUCCUUUCCUAUUAAGAUUGUUGCUUUUGUUAUCGGCUCGGAAUAGUUUAGCUGUCUUUGUUAAGACCGCGGGGACUCGUUUAUUUUCACUAGCGUACACUCACACUAGCUGAGCUUAAGUUAACGGUUUCGAACCAGAUUCUGAGACUCCCUGAUGUCAAGGAUUAAAGCUGUCUUCCUUUAAAAAAAAAAA